rnacentral:rRNA from 1 species
CAGUCGCCACGGGAAUACGUAGGUGGCAAGCGUUGUCCGGAAUUAUUGGGCGUAAAGCGCGCGCAGGUGGUUUAAUAAGUCUGAUGUGAAAGCCCACGGCUCAACCGUGGAGGGUCAUUGGAAACUGUUAAACUUGAGUGCAGGAGAGAAAAGUGGAAUUCCUAGUGUAGCGGUGAAAUGCGUAGAGAUUAGGAGGAACACCAGUGGCGAAGGCGGCUUUUUGGCCUGUAACUGACACUGAGGCGCGAAAGCGUGGGGAGUAAACAGGAUUAGAUACCCCAGUAGUCCCUGUCUCUUAUAU